rnacentral:rRNA from 1 species
UACAGAGGUCCCAAGCGUUGUUCGGAAUUACUGGGCAUAAAGGGUGCGUAGGCGGUUUGUUUAGUCACUGGUGAAAGUUUUCGGCCCAACCGGAAAAUUGCCUGUGAUACUGGCGAACUUGAGUGCGUGAGGGGUGGGGGGAACGAGCAGUGUAGCGGUGAAAUGCGUAGAUAUUGCUCGGAAGGCCGGAGCCGAAGGGGCCCCACUGGUACGUAACUGACGCUGAGGCACGAAAGCGUGGGGAGCAAACAGG